UAAACAAUGAAGAACAAAGAAACUAUAUGAUUCCUAAAUAAUAUUAGUAAUAAGGUGAAACAGAAAGGUUAGCCCCUGCCACGCCCACAUAAAGUGCGACAACACACGGUUACCUACUAAUCUUCUAUCCUAAUCUUCGACCUCCAUAUCUUACUAUCGAGGAUCAUGUCCUCACUAAGCUAAAGUUGUUGUAUGUUCUAUCUAAUCACCUUCCCCCAAUUCUUCUUCGGCCUACACCUGCCCCUCCUAACUUUUAUUACAACCACCUUAAACACCUUCUUAAUUACUGACAUAUCCACACACCUCAUCUUUACAUAAUUUGAACCAUCUCAAUCUCAUCUCUCUUAUCUUGUCUGCCUCGGAGGUCAUUCCCCUUGAGUCAACUACCCUUGAGUCAUAAUUUGUAGCGCUCAAAUUUGUGUAAGAAGUAAAAGGUUAUGACAACAAUGAAAGAUGUGAAAUUUCCUAAAGUUGAGGCACCUUUGUAAUGUUUACUCAAAGGUUGCAUUUCAUUAAUUCAGUCUACAGCCUUUGCUAGCAAAAAGUUUGUGGUAGGUACAGUUCUCUAAAGUCAGAUUAUAUUAGUUUGUGAUUACCUAGGAUAUAUUAUGUUGUGUUUACUGUUUUCAUCUCGAAUAGUUUGGGAUUGAGGCAUAAUUAUAAUUAUUGUUGUUGCCUCCUCCAGCGUCAACCCCAUGGUCAUACAUACACCUAAUCAUGUUGUUAGUGUUUAAGAAAAGGACAUUGGGCUCACAACUAAGCUAGCUUAUGAGGUAAGAAUUCUCUAUAUAAAUAGACAGUAAUCCAUUCCCUCAACCAAUUUGAGUCUGUAACAUCCUCUGGCGCACAAGCUUGAAUAGUGGGAGGGAGGACUAUAUAACCUAGGGGACAACAUUGGGUUAGCUCAUAAGGUGAUGAUCAUGUCUUAGUCUGAUCCAAGAACAAGAACAUCUUUGACUCUGAUACCAUGUAUUCCAACAAUGUAUGCGUAUUUUAUUUUGGGUGGUUUUUUUAAUUACACAGAUGACUUUUAGAAUUUUGGCCUUUAAAAAAAUGAUCUAAUUAAUGAUGUGACCAAAUCAUAAUUGAUCACGUGUAAAAAAUAGUUUUGCAUAAUUGAAGUUAAAAAAUAAUGGCAUGGGUGAAUCUUUUCUCAAAGUUCGAUGACAUAUUUGAGUCAUUUUCCUUAUAUUUUUCACACUGUCAAUACACAAACUCCCCUUAGUUUUAACAAUAAAGACAUAAUAUUUGAUGUAUAAGUUAGGUGUAGACCACAAAAUUUAAAUCCUACUUUUUGUCGUGAACAAAUAGAGAUGGCUAAUAGAGAGAAACUGUUGUAAAGCAAAUCUGCCUAAACCCACAAAACUUUUAGUCCGCAUGAAUCCAUCCUACAUAAAUUCACCCCGCAUAAUUUGCUUUAGUUAGUUGAUAUUAUUAUUUAUUAUUAUUACAAAAACCUAACACUUGUAGCUUAAAAACUUGACAAAAUUUCUCAUAGCACAAAGUCAAAUCUGACCCGUUGUCAUCCCUAUGAACAGAAUUGUAUAUUUAUGUUGGGAGUUAGGUAAAGGACGAGUCCAUAUUUCAUAUAAUUCUGAACUUAUGUGCUAAUAAGAGUUAAUAUAUGCAAUAACAUACCAAUAUUUUUUUUUGGUUUCCCACCCGGUGUCCGAAGCCCAUGAAUUCGGAUCGCGCACUGCAGGGCCCAUUUGAGGGUGGCGCUCCCAACAUGAUUUUCUCCAUACCGAAGGCUCAAACUCGAGACCUCUGGUUAAGGGUAAAACACUUUCACCACUACACCACAACCUAUUAAAAUGUACAGUAGAUUCAUUCAAUUGAAUUCCUAUAUAAAUUCAAUUUUCUUCAUUCAAUUCCCAAAAAUUUGAGAUAAGAUUAAUAAUAUUCGUUGAAAAUGGCGAAAGCAAAAGUGACGAUGGAGGUUGGGAACGACGGCGUUGCGGUAAUUACAUUCGUCAAUCCGCCGGUGAAUGCCCUUGCUAUUCAAAUUUUCGCUGGGUUAAAGGAGAAAUGGAAUGAGGCAGCUAUGAGAAAUGAUGUCAAAGCUAUUGUACUCACUGGAUUUGGUGUUAUCAAUAAAUAGUGAUCGAUUUAGGAAUUUGGUUAAACUUUCUGAAUUGCGAUUUGCGGAGCUGAUGUUUCGAUGAAUUUUUUUGUUAUGAUUGCUAGUAGGGGUGUCAAAUAGGCAGGUUGGAUUGAAAUUUGAGAUAUUAAAAAGGGAAAAUUGUAUAUAAUGACAAACUAUUAAUUCAAAUUAAA